rnacentral:rRNA from 1 species
CGUAAACAAAGGGAAGCUAGCCGGUGACGGUGCGCGAAUCCCAAAAAUAACGUCUCAGUUCGGAUUGUAGUCUGCAACUCGACUACAUGAAGCUGGAAUCGCUAGUAAUCGCGGAUCAGAAUGCCGCGGUGAAUACGUUCCCGGGUCUUGUACACACCGCCCGUCACACCAUGGGAGUCGGAAAUGCCCGAAGUCUGUGACCGAACCGAAAGGAAGGAGCAGCCGAAGGCAGGUCGGAUGACUGGGGUGAAGUCGUAACAAGGUACC